CCUCAGAUCAGACGAGACUACCCGCUGAAUUUAAGCAUAUCAGUAAGCGGAGGAAAAGAAACUAACAAGGAUUCCCUUAGUUAACGGCGAGUGAAGCGGUAAGAGCCCAGCACCGAAUCCCCUGGUUCUGCGCUAGCGGGAAUUGUGGUGUUUGGGCGCUAUCGGCGCUGUGUCCCUGUGCCCAAGUCCUUCUGAUCGGGGCCUUUCCCAUAGUGGGUGUCAGGCCUUUAGCGGCACGGGACUAGGCGUCCUUGAGCGUCCUUGGAGUCGGGUUGUUUGGGAAUGCAGCCUAAGCGGGUG
rnacentral:rRNA from 1 species